rnacentral:rRNA from 1 species
AUUGAACGCUGGCGGCAUGCCUUACACAUGCAAGUCGAACGGCAGCACGGGUGCUUGCACCUGGUGGCGAGUGGCGAACGGGUGAGUAAUACAUCGGAACGUACCUUAUCGUGGGGGAUAACGCAGCGUAAGCUGUGCUAAUACCGCAUACGCCCUGAGGGGGAAAGCGGGGGAUCGAAAGACCUCGCGCGAUUAGAGCGGCCGAUGCCUGAUUAGCUUGUUGGUGGGGGAAAAGCCCACCAAGGCGACGAUCAGUAGCUGGUCUGAGAGGACGAUCAGCCACACUGGGACUGAGACACGGCCCAGACUCCUACGGGAGGCAGCAGUGGGGAAUUUUGGACAAUGGGGGCAACCCUGAUCCAGCAAUGCCGCGUGAGUGAAGAAGGCCUUCGGGUUGUAAAGCUCUUUUGUCAGGGAAGAAACACCGGCUCUAACACAGUCCGGGAAUGACGGUACCUGAGAAUAAGCACCGGCUAACUACGUGCCAGCCGCCGCGGUAA